GGCUACAAGUCUGGCCACAUCCUUCGGCCACUAAGGGCAAUCCUUUAUAAGCUGUUGGGUGUUUCCACACCGAUGGCAAGCAUGAUUGAUACACUGAUAGGGCAAAUCACCAUGCGAGCGACCACAAUACUGACAUGGUUGGGAAGGUCGGACAAGCUGUCCAGUAGGUGGAGGUAGAGCAAGGAGAAGGGCAACUCGGAUUCGUUUAUCAGGGUGGC
rnacentral:lncRNA from 1 species